rnacentral:rRNA from 1 species
GAUGAACGCUGGCGGCGUGCCUAAUACAUGCAAGUCGAGCGAACAGACGAGGAGCUUGCUCCUCUGACGUUAGCGGUGGACGGGUGAGUAACACGUGGAUAACCUACCUAUAAGACUGGGAUAACUUCGGGAAACCGGAGCUAAUACCGGAUAACAUAUUGAACCGCAUGGUUCAACAGUGAAAGACGGUCUUGCUGACACUUAUAGAUGGAUCCGCGCCGCAUUAGCUAGUUGGUAAGGUAACGGCUUACCAAGGCAACGAUGCGUAGCCGACCUGAGAGGGUGAUCGGCCACACUGGAACUGAGACACGGUCCAGACUCCUACGGGAGGCAGCAGUAGGGAAUCUUCCGCAAUGGGCGAAAGCCUGACGGAGCAACGCCGCGUGAGUGAAGAAGGUCUUCGGAUCGUAAAACUCUGUUAUUAGGGAAGAACAAAUGUGUAAGUAACUAUGCACGUCUUGACGGUACCUAAUCAGAAAGCCACGGCUAACUACGUGCCAGCAGCCGCCGCGG